rnacentral:misc_RNA from 1 species
UAAAAAUUAAAAUAAAUAAAAAGAGUCGGCUCAGCUGAAAUAGACGAGCAACCCAAUUUGAAAUAGCGACGGCUUGACUCGGCGUAAUAACAUAUUUCGCUGAGGACGUCCAUUAAUUUGUUUUCAAAACAGUGGUGCUUCUAGUGCAAUCUUUUAAAGCUUUAGACCUCAAAUCAGAUAGGACUACCCGCUGAACUUAA